rnacentral:rRNA from 1 species
GAGCUAACUCUAGCUCAUAUAUAUAUACAUAGAUACUACCUUAUUACAUCAAUUAAAUCAUUUACCCACCAUAAAAGUAUAGGUGAUAGAAAUUAUACACAGACGCAAUAGACACAGUACCGCAAGGGAAAGACAAAAAUCCUAAUAAAGCACAAAAAAGCAAAGAUAAACCCUUCUACCUUUUGCAUAAUGAAUUAACUAGAAACUAUAUUGUAUAAAGAACUUCAACAAUACUCCCCGAAACCAAGCGAGCUACCUAUGGACAGCCAAAAGAGCGCACCCGUCUAUGUGGCAAAAUAGUGGGAAGAUCUAUAGGUAGUGGCAACAAACCUAUCGAGCUUGGUGAUAGCUGGUUAUCCAAGACAGAAUUUCAGUUCAACCUUAAAUUUACUUAUAGAACCCUUAAUCCUUCCGUAAGUUUAAUAGCUACUCUAAAGAGGGACAGCUCUUUAGAUUAUAGGAAAUAACCUUCUUUAGAGAGUAAAACAUACAAUUUCUACAGUAGGCCUAAAAGCAGCCACCAAUUAAGAAAGCGUUCAAGCUCGACACCAACACAACCUUAAUCCCCCCCACUAUACUGAACUCCUAAAACAUAUUGGAUUAAUCUAUUACUAAAUAGAAGCAAUAAUGUUAGUAUAAGUAACGUGAAAUUAUUCUCCCUGCAUAAGCUUAUCUCAGACCGGACCUACCACUGCUAGUUAACAGCUAAAUUAUUCUAUUCCACAACUACACCAACCUAUUACCUAAACUGUUAACCCAACACAGGCAUGCUCUCCAGGAAAGAUUAAAAAAAGUAAAAGGAACUCGGCAAACUCUACCCCCGCCUGUUUACCAAAAACAUCACCUCUAGCAUCAAUAGUAUUAGAGGCACUGCCUGCCCAGUGACACAUGUUAAACGGCCGCGGUACCCUGACCGUGCAAAGGUAGCAUAAUCACUUGUUCUCUAAAUAGGGACUUGUAUGAAUGGCCACACGAGGGUUUAACUGUCUCUUACUUUUAAUCAGUGAAAUUGACCUAUCCGUGAAGAGGCGGAUAUACACUAAUAAGACGAGAAGACCCUAUGGAGCUUCAAUUUAAUAGCACAAACCAACACUUAAAAACCCACAGGCAUUAAAACACCGUCCAUGCGCUAUAAAUUUCGGUUGGGGCGACCUCGGAGUACAACAUAACCCCCGAGAUACAAGUAUACCAAGACCUUACCAGUCUAAGUAAACCAAUAUCUAUUGACCCAAUAAUUUGAUCAACGGACCAAGUUACCCUAGGGAUAACAGCGCAAUCCUAUUAUAGAGUCCAUAUCGACAAUAGGGUUUACGACCUCGAUGUUGGAUCAAGACAUCCUAGUGGUGUAGCCGCUACUAAGGGUUCGUUUGUUCAACGAUUAAAGUCUUACGUGAUCUGAGUUCAGACCGGAGCAAUCCAGGUCGGUUUCUAUCUAUUAAAUAUUUCUCCCAGUACGAAAGGACAAGAGAAAUAGAGCCUACUUUUCAAAGCGCCCUCACAGACCAAAUGACCUCUAUCUUAAUUUACAAUCACUUAUCUGCCCCAAAACCAGGGCUU